rnacentral:tRNA from 1 species
UACUUGAAAGUUUUAAUACAUCAAAUUGCAAGUUUGAAAAAGCAAAAGCUCAGGUUA